AUGGAGGAUGACGACCGCACAAUGCAGGGGGCGUCUGACGAUAAGGUCGAGCCCUCAACCGUUUCCGCGCCGGUUGUCGGCUUCACCAUGACGCGGGCGCAGUACGACUCCGUCAUGCUGGCCGCCCUGCGGGCAGAGACUGACGCCCUGUUCAGGAAGAUCGAUGCGGAGGCACACAAAGAGGCGAUGCAGGCGAUCAUGGACGGGAAUGUUGCUGCCUACGUCGCCAGCUCCGCGCCGGUCACACCGUUCACACGGUUCUUGCCCGGUCGCAACGACCACAAGACCAGCUCAUCCAUGUCGAUCGUGGACCUCAUCUCGACCUAUGACGUUCAUACGACAGACUCCGGAGAGGAAGAGUAG
rnacentral:rRNA from 1 species